rnacentral:lncRNA from 1 species
CCGGCAGCCCCAGGCCUCACCCAGCUCCCACGCAUCCGGUAGCCUGAAGGGCCAGUCUCACUUCCACCAUGUCCCCGCAACAGCACGGAGUGUAUUUUCAGGCAGCCGGUGAGUAGGGCUACAAGCCUCCAGCUGAGAAAGCAAAGCCAACUCACAGUUCCUUGGCUGUCCCGCGGAGCCUGCGGUGGCAAACCACCUCCUUCAGAAGGGUCUGUGGAUUCUCCUGGCUUUUCUGGUAUGUUCCUGUGGUAGUUCUUGGAGCAGAAGUUCAUGAUGCCAGUCUUCAUAGGCGGCUCUGUCUGUCUGAGUGGGAGCUGCAGUCCUUGCCGGAGUCCCACUGCUCCCGAACACAUGCCCUGAGGCAGCGUGCCUGCACAACCAGCUUCCAUCUGAACGCUUCAGACAUGCGCUGCAUUCAGGGCAGGGACUUUUCUUGGACAGAGAAGCUGAGAAGUAUCAGAUAAAGAUGACCUGCAUGUACUGGAAAAUAAUCUGUGGUUUAUAUGUAGGCGGAUGGAAGCAAACCAGGGAACAAAAGAAGAAUUUGUAGUUCACAGCCACAUGAGAUAGUCAAGUGUUAAAAGGGAAAAAGAGCUAUCGAAGGCAGGAAGCAAAAUGCCUUCAGAGAUAAAAGGUUAUUCGUGGCUGAGUGAAAAAAAUGGACAAUGAGCAGAAAAUAAUUUAUACUACAAAGUCUUUAGACGUCAUUUACUUGGGAAACUAAAAGAUUGGAUACCCCUGCUUCAGAUUCUGAUGACCAUCAUUCUACCUUCUGUUUCUAUGGGCUUGACUACUUUGGAUACCUCAAAUAAGUGAAAUGAUGCAUUUGUCUUUUGGUGACCGGCUUAAUUUACCUAGCACAGUAUCCUCAAGGCUCCUCCAAGUUGUCACAUAUGGCAAGAUUUCCUUCCUUUAAAACUGAAUAGUACUCCAUGUUUUCACUUCAUUUUGAUCCAUCGCUUCAUGUGAAUUAAACAAUGGGAGCAGGUGGUAUGGAAGUCCUGAUUUGACCACAUUCUUCUCUAUGACAUGUCUUAAAUUUCAUGAGUUUCCUGUGUAAACUCUCUUUGGCAGACCCUCUGGAUACUUCGUGAUGGCAAAAACACAUCUUACUCUGUGCGCACUGUUUUCCGCUGUCCUUGAGAAAAAAAUGUCGAUUGAAGCCUGUUUCCUGGAGGCAACACUUGUGACAAGAAUUUCACCACGUACUUCAGGGGCUCUGGCCCACUACCUCUUCUACUG